UACGUAGGGCGCAAGCGUUGUCCGGAAUUAUUGGGCGUAAAGAGCUCGUAGGCGGCCUGUUGCGUCCGCUGUGAAAUCCCGGGGCUCAACCCCGGGCCUGCAGUGGAUACGGGCUGGCUAGAGGCAGGCAGGGGAGACUGGAAUUCCUGGUGUAGCGGUGAAAUGCGCAGAUAUCAGGAGGAACACCGGUGGCGAAGGCGGGUCUCUGGGCAACAACUGACGCUGAGGAGCGAAAGCGUGGGGAGCGAACAGG
rnacentral:rRNA from 1 species